rnacentral:rRNA from 1 species
CAGCCGCCGCGGUAAUUCGUAGGUGGCAAGCGUUGUCCGGAAUCAUUGGGCGUAAAGCGCGCGCAGGCGGUCCUUUAAGUCUGAUGUGAAAUCUUGCGGCUCAACCGUAAGCGGUCAUUGGAAACUGGGGGACUUGAGUGCAGGAGAGGAAAGCGGAAUUCCAUGUGUAGCGGUGAAAUGCGUAGAGAUAUGGAGGAACACCAGUGGCGAAGGCGGCUUUCUGGCCUGUAACUGACGCUGAGGCGCGAAAGCGUGGGAAGCAAACAGGAUUAGAUACCCUGGUAGUCCACGCCGUAAACGAUGAGUGCUAAGUGUUGGAGGGUUUCCGCCCUUCAGUGCUGCAGCUAACGCAUUAAGCACUCCGCCUGGGGAGUACGGUCGCAAGACUGAAACUUAAAGGAAUUGGCGGG